rnacentral:rRNA from 1 species
AGAGUUUGAUCCUGGCUCAGGACGAACGCUGGCGGCGUGCUUAACACAUGCAAGUCGAACGCUGAAGCUCAGCUUUUGUUGGGUGGAUGAGUGGCGAACGGGUGAGUAACACGUGAGUAACCUGCCCCCUUCUUUGGGAUAACGCCCGGAAACGGGUGCUAAUACUGGAUAUUCACUGGCCUUCGCAUGGGGGUUGGUGGAAAGGUUUUUUCUGGUGGGGGAUGGGCUCGCGGCCUAUCAGCUUGUUGGUGGGGUGAUGGCCUACCAAGGCUUUGACGGGUAGCCGGCCUGAGAGGGUGACCGGUCACAUUGGGACUGAGAUACGGCCCAGACUCCUACGGGAGGCAGCAGUGGGGAAUAUUGCACAAUGGGCGAAAGCCUGAUGCAGCGACGCCGCGUGAGGGAUGACGGCCUUCGGGUUGUAAACCUCUUUCGCUCAUGGUCAAGCCGCAACUCAAGGUUGUGGUGAGGGUAGUGGGUAAAGAAGCGCCGGCUAACUACGUGCCAGCAGCCGCGGUAAUACGUAGGGCGCGAGCGUUGUCCGGAAUUAUUGGGCGUAAAGGGCUUGUAGGCGGUUGGUCGCGUCUGCCGUGAAAUCCUCUGGCUUAACUGGGGGCGUGCGGUGGGUACGGGCUGACUUGAGUGCGGUAGGGGAGACUGGAACUCCUGGUGUAGCGGUGGAAUGCGCAGAUAUCAGGAAGAACACCGAUGGCGAAGGCAGGUUACUGGGCCGUUACUGACGCUGAGGAGCGAAAGCGUGGGGAGCGAACAGGAUUAGAUACCCUGGUAGUCCACGCUGUAAACGUUGGGCACUAGGUGUGAGGCUCCUUUCCGGGGGUUUUGCGCCGUAGCUAACGCAUUAAGUGCCCCGCCUGGGGAGUACGGCCGCAAGGCUAAAACUCAAAGGAAUUGACGGGGGCCCGCACAAGCGGCGGAGCAUGCGGAUUAAUUCGAUGCAACGCGAAGAACCUUACCAAGGCUUGACAUGUUAACCGUGGCUCUAGAGAUAGGGUUUACCCUUUUGGGUGGUUUUCACAGGUGGUGCAUGGUUGUCGUCAGCUCGUGUCGUGAGAUGUUGGGUUAAGUCCC